CACGUAGGGGCCAAGCGUUGUCCGGAAUUAUUGGGCGUAAAGAGCGCGUAGGCGGUCCGAUAAGUCGGCUGUGAAAGUCCAGGGCUCAACCCUGGAAAGCCGGCCGAUACUGUCGGACUAGAGUCCGGAAGAGGCAAGUGGAAUUCCCGGUGUAGUGGUGAAAUGCGUAGAUAUCGGGAGGAACACCAGUGGCGAAGGCGACUACCUGGCCUGUUCUUGACGCUGAGGCGCGAAAGCUAGGGGAGCAAACGGG
rnacentral:rRNA from 1 species